GUGAGUACUGUAUUCAUCAUGCAAUUCAGGAUAAAAGCACUAGGAUUUUUCAUUUAGUUUUUUGCUUUGGAAACUGGUGUUGGAACUCUUUUUCGAUACAAAAUUACUCUGGUAUUUACCAUUGCUCCGAUAACAAGUGUAUGCAUGUUUAUCUGUAAAGGUUCACUGGCCAAAAAGUCCAAAACUUUACCCACUUUUUCAAUUUUAGCCAUUCCUUUUAUUUUUAUCAAUUAGUACUUGAAACAUUGACCUUUGUUUCAAUUUUAGCAAUCAAUUUA
rnacentral:misc_RNA from 1 species